UUUCUGUCUUCUUAAAACCCUUUUUCGUUCUCCCUUAAUAACUGUUUUCUCAUUAUUUUUUUCCUUUUUCCUUUUUCCUUCCUCCUUCUUCGAUCUUUUAGUUCUUCUUUCGUCCGUCUUCUUCUGUCUUUUAGUUCUUCCUUCUUCUUCCGUCUUUUGGUUCUUCUUUCUUCCUUCUUUUUCUAUCAUUUAGUUGAAAGAAGAAGAAAUUGAAAGAAGCUUUAGAACAACAGAGAAGUGUCGAAGAUAUUUAUCUAUUUUUGUUCCCAUUUUUUAAUCAUUUGCAUCUACGGUAUGAAAUAGAAGAAUAUCAUGAUGAGACGAAGUAAUCAAUUGAGAGCUUCAAGGAUUACUGGAAGAGAAACUAGACAAUCUGAGGAGAUAUAUGUAAAGUUUAUGUAGUUCUGAAGAGGAAAUAAACACCCAAAUGGAAGUGGGGUCAGUUGAAAGAAUGAAAUUAAAAGGAAUGAAAAAGAGAGAAAGAUCUGAAGUAAUAUGUGGUGUGACUGCAACAACAAAAAAGAUCAAAGACGAAGAGUAUAAAGCAACUGGGAGAAGUUAAAAGAAAGGGAAAAGAAGUUAUGAAUGAAGAAAACAAGUUAGGUACAAAUCUAGAAGAAUUAGAGAGUAUAAGAAAAGGAUCGAUUUAAAGCUAAAAAAUCAGAACAAUUAUGGAAAAUACCUAACAUAUCAAUGGGAGGUAUACGGAUCAAUGCGAUGAAGGGAAAGUUGCUCGAAGGAUUGAAAGAGAAAGAAAAUGUACCCAUGUAUGCACUAUCGUUUGAUCUUCACUUGAGUCAAGCAUAAAGGGAUGUGAUCAGUAAAUACAUAUUUCCUUUAUGAUGAAGUCAGUUUGACGUUGAAAACAUUGAUCUAUUUUUUUCUUGGUUUUCAUUGAUACUUUAGAAAACGUAUUAGUGUUUUAUUUCUUCAUCGGAUCACAAAACUUAAUUGU